rnacentral:SRP_RNA from 1 species
UAAAAAGUCCAAUGAGUAAUCGUGAAAUGAGUCAGGGCAGGAAUGCAGCAGCUCUAAACGAUGAUCUCUUGUGGGCUUUUUUUGU